CUCCGAGAAACGCCGCCGCCAAGUCUCCAGGGCAGGGCGGUUUUAAUCCCUGCCGCCGAACUCCGGGAGACGCCACCGCUGCGGCACAGGGUAGAUUUCGCGUCUCCACGUGGUCGCACGCACGCCUGCACCUCCACUCCCCCCCUCGAUCCCGAUCGGAUCUUUCUCUCCACAAAUAUCGCCACCGCCGGCCUCCUUCGCUCGACUCGACCAUGGUGAAGCUACACCUUCCCCAAUUCCUCCUGUCGUCAUCGUCAUCCUCCGUGCGACCCUGCCAGAUUCCACGAUUUGGGGAUUCCCUAUGAGGAGCCGGCGCGUCGUCCUCAUCGCAGGCGGGCGGGUGUUGGCAUGUGCGUGUAUGGAGGAGCUCCACCUCACCCACUUCAGCUUCCUCCUGUCGUCAUCAUCGUCCUCCGCGCGACCACGCCAGCUUCCAUGGUUUGGGGGAGCCUUCCCUAUGAGGAUCCAGCGUGUCGUCCUCGUCGCACCCUAAUUAGGUUCCUGGUGGGUCCGCACCGCCGCACCCUAAUUUGAUUUCGACUGGAGUCUAGGACGUCAGCGCCACCAGGUCGUUAGCACUGCCGUUCAGGUGAUAAUAAACGCCGUUCACCACAACAAGAGGGAGCAAACUGCGUAGCAAGAUCAAUAAUGAAUGGUUCAAGUCAUGUGUUACAAGUUACAAUGAUCAGGUGGUACUCAAGUCCGUUGAUGAUAAGGAUAUUAUUCGAACAUUUACUGCAAUGAUGUCUCGGAAAGGGCAUUUGCCUCGUGAUUGUCUUUAGUGCGCUGUCGGUAUUCGGUAUGUUCCAUCUGACCAUCUCUAUUCUUGCAAGCUUUUGAUUUGUAAUAUAUUCAAAUAAUUUGUAUUUAAAAAUUAUGGGUUAGUAGAUC